GAUGAAGAACGUAGCGAAAUGCGAUAAGUAAUGUGAAUUGCAGAAUUCAGUGAAUCAUCGAAUCUUUGAACGCACAUUGCGCCCGUCAGUAUUCUGGCGGGCAUGCCUGUUCGAGCGUCAUUACGCCCCUCAAGUCCCCUGUGGACUUGGUGUUGGGGAUCGGCGAGGCUGGUUUUCCAGCACAGCCGUCCCUUAAAUUAAUUGGCGGUCUCGCCGUGGCCCUCCUCUGCGCAGUAGUAAAACACUCGCAACAGGAGCCCGGCGCGGUCCACUGCCGUAAAACCCCCCAACUUUUUAUAGUUGACCUCGAAUCAGGUAGGACUACCCGCUGAACUUAAGCAUAUCAAUAGCGAGGA
rnacentral:misc_RNA from 1 species